AGGGAAUAUUGGUCAAUGGAUGCAAGUCUGAACCAGCCAUGCCGCGUGCAGGAAGAAGGCCUUCUGGGUCGUAAACUGCUUUUGCCGGGGGAUAAAAUGGCCUUGCGAGGCGAAUUGAAGGUACCCGGUGAAUAAGCCACGGCUAACUACGUGCCAGCAGCCGCGGUAAUACGUAGGUGGCAAGCGUUGUCCGGAUUUAUUGGGUUUAAAGGGUGCGUAGGCGGCCGUAUAAGUCAGUGCUGAAAUACUCUAGCUUAACUAGAGGGGUGGCAUUGAUACUGUAUGGCUUGAGUAUAGUCGAGGUAGGCGGAAUUGACGGUGUAGCGGUGAAAUGCUUAGAUAUCGUCAAGAACACCGAUAGUGUAGACAGCUUACUAGGCUAUAACUGACGCUGAGGCACGAAAGUGUGGGGAUCAAA
rnacentral:rRNA from 1 species